AAUGCGCCCUUAGAGUGUGAUCCUGGCUCAGAUUGAACGCUGGCGGAAUGCUUUACACAUGCAAGUCGAACGGCAGCACGGGAGCUUGCUCCUGGUGGCGAGUGGCGAACGGGUGAGUAAUGCGUCGGAACGUACCGAGUAGUGGGGGAUAACGCACCGAAAGGUGUGCUAAUACCGCAUACGCCCUGAGGGGGAAAGUGGGGGAUCGCAAGACCUCACGUUAUUCGAGCGGCCGACGUCUGAUUAGCUAGUUGGUGAGGUAAUGGCUCACCAAGGCGACGAUCAGUAGCGGGUCUGAGAGGAUGAUCCGCCACACUGGGACUGAGACACGGCCCAGACUCCUACGGGAGGCAGCAGUGGGGAAUUUUGGACAAUGGGGGCAACCCUGAUCCAGCCAUUCCGCGUGAGUGAAGAAGGCCUUCGGGUUGUAAGGCUCUUUCAGCUGGAGCGAAACGGUGCGCUCUAACAUAGCGUGCUAAUGACGGUACCAGCAGAAGAAGCACCGGCUAACUACGUGCCAGCAGCCGCGGUAAUACGUAGGGUGCGAGCGUUAAUCGGAAUUACUGGGCGUAAAGCGUGCGCAGGCGGAUUGUUAAGCAGGAUGUGAAAUCCCCGGGCUACCCUGGGAAUGCAUUNGAACUGCAGUCUAG
rnacentral:rRNA from 1 species